UACGUAGGGUGCGAGCGUUUGUCCGGAAUUAUUGGGCGUAAAGAGCUCGUAGGCGGCUUGUCACGUCGGGUGUGAAAGCCCGGGGCUUAACCCCGGGUCUGCAUUCGAUACGGGCAGGCUAGAGUGUGGUAGGGGAGAUCGAAUUCCUGGUGUAGCGGUGAAAUGCGCAGAUAUCAGGAGGAACACCGGUGGCGAAGGCGGAUCUCUGGGCCAUUACUGACGCUGAGGAGCGAAAGCGUGGGGAGCGAACAGG
rnacentral:rRNA from 1 species